rnacentral:rRNA from 1 species
GUGGAGGACCGAACUGGUUGUCGUUGAAAAGACUUCGGAUGACCUGAGGGUAGGGGUGAAAGGCCAAUCAAACUGGGAAAUAGCUCGUACUCCCCGAAAUGCAUUUAGGUGCAGCGUUGAUGUGAGUUUAAUAGAGGUAGAGCUACUGAUUGGAUGCGGGGGUUUCAUCGCCUACCAAUUCCUGACAAACUCCGAAUGCUAUUAAAUGCUCAUCAGCAGUGAGGGUAUGGGUGCUAAGGUCCAUAUCCGAGAGGGAAAGAACCCGGACCAUCAGCUAAGGUCCCCAAAUAUAUGCUAAGUUGAAAAAACGCGGUCUGACUACACUGACAGCUAGGAUGUUGGCUUGGAAGCAGCCAUACAUUUAAAGAGUGCGUAACAGCUCACUAGUCGAGCGGUUCGGCAUGGAGAAUAAACGGGCAUAAGCAUAUUACCGAAGCUAUGGGGUAGAGAUACCGGUAGGGGAGCAUUCUAUAGGCGUUGAAGCUAAAGGCGUGAGCCAUAGUGGAGCUUGAUAGAAAAGAAAAUGUAGGCAUAAGUAACGAUAAGGCAGGCGAGAAACCUGCCCGCCGAAAGAUCAAGGUUUCCUCAGCUAUGCUAAUCAGCUGAGGGUUAGUCGGGGACUAACGCGCACCCGAGUAGGGGAAGUGGAUGUACAACAGGUUAAUAUUCCUGUACCAUUAAUCUGAUAAAAGUGACGGAACGAGAUAACUACCGCGUACUGACGGAAUAGUACGUUAAAGGAGCAGUUAUAGCUUUGAUAGUACACUGAGGCUUCGGCUAAGGUGAUAGAGUGGUGACAACGUUUCCAAGAAAAGCGAAGAUUAAUGCCCGUACCGUAAACCGACACAGGUGAUUGGGAAGAGAAUUCUAAGGCGCUCGAGAGAUUCAUGGCUAAGGAACUAGGCAAAAUAGACCUGUAACUUCGGGAGAAAGGUCGCCUAUCUAGCGAUAGGCCGCAGUGAAAAGGUCCAAGCGACUGUUUAUCAAAAACACAGGACUCUGCAAAAUCGAAAGAUGAGGUAUAGGGUCUGACACCUGCCCGGUGCUGGAAGGUUAAGAGGAGGGCUUAGCGUAAGCGAAGGUCUGAAUUGAAGCCCCAGUAAACGGCGGCCGUAACUAUAACGGUCCUAAGGUAGCGAAAUUCCUUGUCGGGUAAGUUCCGACCUGCACGAAUGGUGUAACGAUUUGGACACUGUCUCGGCCAUGAGCUCGGUGAAAUUGUAGUAUCGGUGAAGAUGCCGAUUACCCGCAGUGGGACGAAAAGACCCUGUGCACCUUUACUAUAUCUUCGUAUUGGUCUUGGAUAAGUGAUGCGUAGGAUAGGUGGGAGACUAAGAAGCGGCUAUUCCGGUAGUUGUGGAGUCAUUGUUGAAAUACCACCCUUUGCUUAUCUGAGGUCUAACCCUGCUAGUGGCAGGGGACAAUUCGUGGAGGGUAGUUUGACUGGGGUGGUCGCCUCCAAAAGCGUAACGGAGGCUUCUAAAGGU